UACGUAGGGUGCGAGCGUUGUCCGGAGUUACUGGGCGUAAAGAGUGCGUAGGCGGUUUUCUAAGUUUGGUGUGAAAUCUCCCGGCUUAACUGGGAGGGUGCGCCGAAAACUGGAAGGCUUGAGUAUGGGAGAGGUAAGCGGAAUUCCUGGUGUAGCGGUGAAAUGCGUAGAUAUCAGGAGGAACACCUGCGGUGUAGACGGCUUACUGGACCAUAACUGACGCUGAGGCACGAAAGCGUGGGUAGCAAACAGG
rnacentral:rRNA from 1 species